UGGGGAAUAUUGGACAAUGGGCGAAAGCCUGAUCCAGCCAUGCCGCGUGUGUGAAGAAGGUCUUCGGAUUGUAAAGCACUUUAAGUUGGGAGGAAGGGCAGUAAGCGAAUACCUUGCUGUUUUGACGUUACCGACAGAAUAAGCACCGGCUAACUCUGUGCCAGCAGCCGCGGUAAUACAGAGGGUGCAAGCGUUAAUCGGAAUUACUGGGCGUAAAGCGCGCGUAGGUGGUUCGUUAAGUUGAAUGUGAAAGACCCGGGCUCAACCUGGGAACGGCAUCCAAAACUGGCGAGCUAGAGUAGGGCAGAGGGUGGUGGAAUUUCCUGUGUAGCGGUGAAAUGCGUAGAUAUAGGAAGGAACACCAGUGGCGAAGGCGACCACCUGGGCUCAUACUGACACUGAGGUGCGAAAGCGUGGGGAGCAAACAGG
rnacentral:rRNA from 1 species